rnacentral:tRNA from 1 species
GAGGAUAGAGCUCAAUGGUAGAGCACAUGCUUAGCAUGCACGAGGUCCUGGGUUCAAUUCCUGGUACCUCCA